rnacentral:lncRNA from 1 species
CAUUUGUUGAGAUAUGACUUACAUAUAGUAAAAUGCACGAGUCUUAAGUAUACAUUUUUACGUAUGUAUACAUCUAUUUACCUCCCCCCAGGUCAAAAUACAGAACAUUUCCAGCACCACAGAACGCUGACUCCUUGUGCCCCUUCUCAGUCCUUACCCACGCCCAUGAUUGACCACAUUCUGACUUCUGUAGUCGUAGAUCAGUUUUGCCUGUAUUUGAAUUUCAUAUAAAUGGAAUCAUAAGCGCGUGGUGUGGCUGAUGUGAAGCCUUCAAAUGCUGCAGCCCUUUUGCUACCAGGAAUGGAGUCAAAUUUAUGAUGAAGCUCAUACUUUGGAAGACUGGAAGGAAAUUAGUUGCAGCAUGCGGGACGCUGCCUCAGCGUGGUUUGAUGAGCAGUGUCAUGUCCGCACCCAGGAUUCGAACCAAUGAAACACUGGGCCGCCUGCAGCGGAGCGCGCGAACCCAACCGCUCGGCCACGGGGCCAGUCCCCCUUGGUGAUAUUUUUGAUUCACAGAAUCAAACCAAUUGCAAAGCCCACUCAUCCCCUGGAAUUUGCAGUUGUAUGAACCAAUAAACCCUCUUUAUUGUUUAAGCCUAUUGGAGUUGGGCUUUCUGUUACUCACUAAUAAAAAAGGCAUGUUUAGUUUUAAAAUUUUUUGAUAAGUUGCUUUCCAAAAUUUAUACCGGUUUACAAUUCAACAACAAAAUAUGAGAGUGUCUGUUUCUUCACACCCUUGUCAAAACAAUGUAUUAUUAAACUUUCUGAUAUUGCCAUUUUUAUAGGAAAAGAGUGGUAUCUUAUUGUAUUUUUAAUGCAAUCUUUUUAUCAUGAGUAAGCUUAAGCUUCUUUCUAAUAUGCUUAAAAAUCACACGUAUUUCCUUUGUAUGUGUGUGUGUGUGUACUGUUCAUUUCCUUUGCCUAGUUUUUAUUUCUAUUCUUCUUUUUCUUCUUUUUUUUUUUUUUGGAGGAAGAUUAGCCCUGAGCUAACAUCUGCUGCCAGUCCUCCUCUUUUUGCUGAGGAAGACCGGCCCUGAGCUAACAUCCGUGCCCAUCUUCCUCUACUUUAUAUGUGGGACG